rnacentral:tRNA from 1 species
GGAGAGGUGCCAGAGUGGUUGAAUGGGACAGUCUCGAAAACUGUUGGGGGCGCAAGUCUCUCGAGAGUUCGAAUCUCUCCCUCUCCG